UCCAGACUCCUACGGGAGGCAGCAGUGGGGGAUAUUGCACAAUGGGGGGAACCCUGAUGCAGCGACGCCGCGUGGGUGAAGGAGCGUUUCGGCGCGUAAAGCCCUAUCGGCAGGGAAGAAGGAGGACGGUACCUGACUAAGAAGCCCCGGAUAACUACGUGCCAGCAGCCGCGGUAAUACGUAGGGGGCAAGCGUUAUCCGGAUUUACUGGGUGUAAAGGGGGCGCAGACGGCAGCGCAAGCCAGGAGUGAAAGCCCGGGGCCCAACCCCGGGACUGCUCUUGGAACUGCGCGGCUGGAGUGCAGGAGGGGCAGGCGGAAUUCCUGGUGUAGCGGUGAAAUGCGUAGAUAUUAGGAGGAACACCAGUGGCGAAGGCGGCCUGCUGGACGACAACUGACGGUGAGGCGCGAAAGCGUGGGGAGCAAACAGGAUUAGAUACCCCGGUA
rnacentral:rRNA from 1 species